GCAUAGCUCAGUUGGUUUCAGCAUGGUGCUGAUAAAGCCAAGGUUGCAGGUUUGAUCCCUGCACGGAACA